AGGUAUACAACUAUAUCUGUUUCUACUAGAGGAUGCACUGUUCGGUGUUGUGCAACUUUUUGAUUACACAUCAGGUAAAACUAAGAAGAAGUGAGUCUGUGAGCUACCAAGCCAAGGCUGCUACAGAGAAGAGUGUAUGGCCCUCUCAACAUUUACCCAUUAAAGAGGAGAAGCAUUCUGUGCAUUUCAAAGCCCAUGCUUGUGCUCUUGCUAAGCCCUUUGUCUCAGUCCAUCCUUCCAGAUGUUUCCCAAACUUUUAGUGAGAGAUCUGAAGUAGAAGGCGUGCCUGAGCAAGUAAAGAGUUUGAGGGAAACUAUAUUGUGGAGAUUAAGUGGUUGUCACAGCAAGACAGUUGCAAACUGAGACUUGAACAUUUGAGAUCUCUAGCAUCCCAAUCAGGAGGUAAGUGCAUGAGAAAAUACUGCUUCUCUAGCUCAUGAUGUGGCUUGGCAAGAAUGCAGUGCAACUGUUCAGUCUGCUACUGACAGUGUACAGCAGUGUGCAAAUUCAAAGCCUGAGUAAUUCAGGUCCUGGCUGGAGCUAGAUUAUCAUUUUUGCAGUCACUAUGUAGUGUUGAAACAGUAAGUGGAGCCUGCAAGGCCUAUUUCAAAAAAUACCCCAAGGAGCAGUAGGAGGAACUUGGCUCUGUCUUCCAAACUGAUAGAGAUCUUACGUGGUAUUGGGCUUUAAUUUGUGGAAGAGACAAUUACAUACAGAUUAAAAAAAACAAAGACACUUUCCAAAGUGCACUCAAAGAUAUGAGUGCAUCAUUAUUAAUACCUCAGAUUUGCUGACUUGCCCAAUUUUUUUGUAUCAGUUUUGAAAGGGAAGUGUAAAAGGCAGUGCCGGUAAGAUAUAUUCUGACAGUGACUUUGGACUGAGUUCCAUGAUCAUGAUGAAUCCUGGGGGAGAGCAGACUUGUGCCUUUACUGUCUUGCACCCCUUAAGGCCUUAGCAGAGGCCAUUUACUAAACUACUGCCAUUUGCAGGCAAAUAGUCAGAAAGGGGCAGAGCUGUGUCUUAGGGACUCUUCUUGCUGGCCAGGUGUAAAGUUAGUAGAUAAGCUGCAAGAGCACAAGAGUGAAGCAUGGGGAGUUGGAGAGAUUUUGGGGUGGACUGGUUUAUUCUCUGGCCUGCUUAUAUAGUAGCACAGUCAUACACUUUUGGCUGCUCAUAGCAGAUUACUGGUAUUUAUCUGUCCUGCUGUCUCACAGUGCAGGAAGUACAUAACCAGAGAAGUGGAAACAAGAGAAGCGCCAUCAUUUAUAGACAUUUUCUUAUGUUUUAAGAGGGAGAAAGUUCUUACCAGUGUGAUAAUAGAUGCAUUUUUAUAUUAUAAAUAUUUUCACAGUGAAGACAGCUUUAACCCCUUUCUCACCUUACAAUGCACCAGAGAAAUCUAAGAAACAGAUUUCCUGUACUCAUUAUAUUCCACUAACUGUAACAUCCUAGAUGUAGGUAUCUGUAGGAAGCAAAAGAAACUAUUUGCUGGGAUAUAUGUGCUAACAGAAUUGAAUGACUUAAGUAUAUAAGGAAGAUAACAACAUGUUUUAAUAUAAAUAAAUACAGUGAUGUUUUCUAUUCUUUAUACAGUAGUUUAAGGCCUUUCAAAAUCUUGGUUCACCUUUAAAACUCCUCUGGCAGUGU